rnacentral:rRNA from 1 species
UAAAGUGGCGAACGGCUGAGUACCACGUGGGCAACCUGCCCUUUGCACUGGGAUAGCCUCGGGAAACCGAGGUUAAUACCGGAUACUCCAUAUUUGUCGCAUGGCAAUAUGGGAAAGCUCCGGCGGCAAAGGAUGGGCCCGCGGCCUGUUAGCUAGUUGGUGGGGUAGUGGCCUACCAAGGCAAUGAUGGGUAGCCGGGUUGAGAGACCGACCGGCCAGAUUGGGACUGAGGCACGGCCCAGACUCCUACGGGAGGCAGCAGCC